ACCGAACGCUGACGGCGGGCCUCAUACAUGCAAGUCGAGCGAGAAGCCACUUCGGUGGUGGAAAGCGGCGCACGGGUGAGUAACGCGUGGGUAAUCUAUCUCUUGGAUGGGAAUAACAGUUCGAAAGGACUGCUAAUGCCGAGUAAGCUCAAGAAUUCAUAAAGUUUUUUGAGGAAAGAUGGUGCAAGCUAUCGCCGAGAGAGGAGCCUGCGUUCCAUUAGUUUGUUGGUGGGGUAAAAGCCUACCAAGACUACGAUGGAUAACUGGUCUGAGAGGAUGGUCAGUCACACUGGAACUGAAACACGGUCCAG
rnacentral:rRNA from 1 species